AUCUACGGAACACAACCUCAGUUGAGGUCCACAUUCAAAUUUGUGCUGUCGCUAAUAGUGGCCAUGUGUUUUUGUUGUUAUUCUUAUUGUGUUAAAUAAGUUUUUUUUUAUUGUGUCGAAAUUUCAUCUAAGAUGUUUACUCAGCUUGUCAUCCUGCUAGUGAUGCUUGACCUACCCGACGUCUUUAAUUCGCCGUUACUGAGGACCACGGACACAAAGAGUCUUAAACACCCCGUCAUACUAACUCAUGAGCCGACACACAUUCAACACAUACACAUACUACCGUCGAAAUAUCCCAGAAAGAAAAAAGCGCCAAACUUGACCGUAAUUCCCUUAACCCAUCAGCUAUACGUUCCCGCAAAAUUCCAUGUUUUACCGUCCCAGUCGAACGUGCAAAGCUCAGUACACACGAGUGUCAAUCACAUAGUCAGCAACAAUGUCAGGAUUCCGGUCGUGACGCAAACCGUGGCGCACAGUAGCAACAUCACCCAUUCCCCCUCCCUGAUCCUGAUUCCCAUCCAACACAAUCUCGUGCCUGUACAUGAUCUAACCGUUCUUCCGUUGCAAAGAACGGUGCAGAACGAGAAGACUGGACAUUACAGGACAGUGGAAAAGAAGAGCGAAGAAGAUGAGGAACCGAAUCGUUAUAGAACUUUUUACGGUGGUUAUGGGGCGGGCCUGUUCUUCGGAGGACACGGUGCUGGCCACGGCUUUUAUUCUUAUGGAAAGUAAUCUGACAACAUUUCGACAAUCAGAAUCAAUUUUUUUUUAUUGCUUUUGAUGGAUAGACGAAGCCCACCUGGUGUUAAGUGGUUACUGGAGCCCAUAGACAUCUACAACGUAAAUGCGCCACCCACCUUGAGAUAUAAGCUCUAAGUUCUCAAGUAUAGUUACAACGGCUGCCCCACCCUUCAAACCGAAACGCAUUAGUGCUUCACGGCAGAAAUAGGCAGGGUGGUGGUAUCUACCCGCGCGGACUCACAAGAGGUCCUACCACCAGUAAUUACGCAAAUUAUAAUUUUGCGGGUUUGAUUUUUAUUACACGAUGUUUUUCCUUCGCCGUAUAUUAGAUUGAUUUUAUUUCUAAUUUUAUUUAUACUUCAGAACUGUUGAAAUUGUAUUGAUGAGAGUCGCUUCCUCGAAAGGAGAAAAGGUAUAAUAAUUAAUCAUAAGACAUCAAACAACAAAUUUAUGUACUAGACGUAAGGAGAUAGAUUAAUAAAUUAUUUAUUGUACCUA